AUGAAAUUUAUUUAUCUUGGUGGAAAGGUGUGUUCUUUUAUACCCAUUUCAACAUUUAUUCGAAAAAACUUUGGUUUGUUUCUUAAAAUAUUCAAAUGGGAUAACAGUUUCCUUUUACAUAAUCUAUGAGUUUAUAUUGAUGUUUUAUUAUGUUUUUGGUGAUUUAGUGGGUUUUUUUUUUUCAAAUUAUGAUUUUAUAUUACAUAUAAAGUAUACACACAGGUUAUUGGAUACAAAAAGACAGACACUUCAUACUUCAUCAAGCUUCAUGUAUAUGGAGGUGUAAAAGGGUGGGUACGAGAAAAGUUAUUCAUUUGGAGAUAGACAUUUAUUUGGCCUAUUGGCAAUAUAGAUGCAGAGGAAAUAUUUGAGGAGGUAUUGUUUGACAGGAUUGGGCAGCAAACUUUAAGGGCUCGGAUGUUUUCAACCCGCGCAAAAGAUUUA